AACGAACGCUGGCGGCAGGCUUAACACAUGCAAGUCGAGCGCUCGUGGCAACACGGGAGCGGCAGACGGGUGGGUAACGCGUGGGAACCUACCUAUUGCUGCGGAAUAACUCAGGGAAACUUGAGCUAAUACCGCAUGUGCCCUUCGGGGGAAAGAUUUAUCGGCAAUAGAUGGGCCCGCGUCGGAUUAGCUAGUUGGUGGGGUAACGGCCUACCAAGGCGACGAUCCGUAGCUGGUCUGAGAGGAUGAUCAGCCACACUGGGACUGAGACACGGCCCAGACUCCUACGGGAGGCAGCAGUGGGGAAUAUUGGACAAUGGGCGCAAGCCUGAUCCAGCCAUGCCGCGUGAGUGAUGAAGGCCUUAGGGUUGUAAAGCUCUUUCGCCGGUGAAGAUAAUGACGGUAACCGGAGAAGAAGCCCCGGCUAACUUCGUGCCAGCCGCCGCCGUAAGAC
rnacentral:rRNA from 1 species